rnacentral:rRNA from 1 species
CUAUUUCUAGAGAUAGAAAGUUACUUCGGUACAUCGGUGACAGGUGGUGCAUGGUUGUCGUCAGCUCGUGUCGUGAGAUGUUGGGUUAAGUCCCGCAACGAGCGCAACCCCUAUUGUUAGUUGCCAUCAUUCAGUUGGGCACUCUAGCGAGACUGCCGGUAAUAAACCGGAGGAAGGUGGGGAUGACGUCAAAUCAUCAUGCCCCUUAUGACCUGGGCUACACACGUGCUACAAUGGUUGGUACAACGAGUUGCGAGUCGGUGACGGCGAGCUAAUCUCUUAAAGCCAAUCUCAGUUCGGAUUGUAGGCUGCAACUCGCCUACAUGAAGUCGGAACCGCUAGUAAUCGCGGAUCAGCACGCCGCGGUGAAUACGUUCCCGGGCCUU